rnacentral:lncRNA from 10 species
CUGGGACCCCACAGCACAUUUCUCCAAUUCUCUGUCCGACUGCUCCCCUCUCUGUCAGCAUCCCCCUCCCUGCUUGCUUGACGCUGUGUUGGGAUUUCUAGAGAGUGUGUUGAGCAGCUCUGAUGGUGUGAGGGCUGGCUGAGCAGAGCACCAGUCCUCCCGGCCCCUGUUCUGUCUGGUCUGGGAGACCACUGCAUCUCAGAACCUCAAGUUCUGGCAGGAAGGGAUGGGAUGAACAUUCCAAGAGCACAGGGAGGAAGGAAAGCUACCCCCUCGGCCUCUUCCCCCAGCUUUCUCGGUUGGUAAACUGGGGCAUCUCUAAAUGACAACAUUUCAGCUUCAGUAGAGGGAUGGAGUGAUGUGGCCUUUCACGUCUAUGAAAGAAAAGUAAAGAAGAGUUUGUGAGUAACAUUUCCUUCAGCACUCCUCAAAAUUUAGAAAAAUGAAGGCAAGAAACAAGAUGAAGAAGAAAGAAGAAAAG